rnacentral:lncRNA from 1 species
UGGGUGUUGACUCAGCCUCCAUAGGAGAUAUCACAAUGAGUGAGUGAAAACAGGCUCAGGAAAUCCUCAGAGCUCCCAGGGUGUCUAGACACAGGGAUUCUAUAAUCCUGUCAGGAAAGUGGGUGGGAGAGGGAUUUGCAAAGAAAACCAUUAACAUCACUUCCCCAGGGCGAGGAACUCCAUGUGAGGCUCUGGGGGAACCUGACUAUGUGCAGUCGUUUACAGCCUGGGUCUCCUGGAGCCUAUGAAAUGAGAAGCAGUCAUUAGCACAGCAAGCGGCCCUCAUCCUUCCUUCUCAAUAAUAACACUGUCACCAGAGGAUGGAAAAUUACCCUGACGUCUCUGUAUCUCCAAAUUGCACUUCAGAGACAGACUGCGUAAGGCAAACAGACCCUGAGUGAAAACCUCCUGGCUAGACUUCCAAGCCAAGGCCUAAUAAAUAACCCUGAAAUAUACAAAGUGAUGGCAGCUUUGCUCUGUGGCUCGUGGCUUCUGCCCUGGGAAGGACCAUGAAUUUCAGCGUCUGACAGAUGGGGUCAGAAAGUGGAGUCUGCCUGGUGGGUUGAGGAUCUGCAAAUUAACCCCAUGGUGGUGGUUUCAGAACAAGUGUGCCUGCUCACGCAAAGACUAACCUCUAAGAAAGGAGCAGGCCCGGAGGUGAGGCCCCCUGGGCGUGAAAGAAUCAACCCCAGUCCACAAAGUCCGGAGAUGAGACAUCCUGCCUGGAGGAGGGAGCCCUGUGCAUCGCAGGAUCAAAGAAGCCAAACAGGAUCUUUAGUGGUGACCGAAAAUGCUCAUGAGGAGAAAGGCUGCAUGGCAUUAAGUGAACCCCAUUGAAAGGGCCCAGUGAACAGAGCCCCUGGACAUUGCCGGAAGGAAAGGAGAAAGCCCAGCAAAGCACACAACGUAUCAGGCUUUUCAUGUGUCAUUGGGUGAAAGGGAGUCACAUGGGCCAAGGAGGGGAAGCAGGUGUCAUCAGAGCAGUUCCACAGCCCUCUAGGCACAGUAACAGGCAUGCUUUCUGUCCUUCUCUCCUUUUAGAUUGUAAGCUACCCAAAGUCCAUCUCCAUGGGUUUUUUUCCUUAUGUGCAAACUACCAUAUGACAGGUGUGCCUGACAAUAACUCAGGUAUAGCUGAGAAUGAUCCUGUAGUCCAAGAAUGUUGGUUCUGAGCUCUGAACUAAGGAAUCUGGGAGCUGCCAACCCAGAGGUUUACUCCUUAUCUAUGGAGCAUAGGUGAACCCCUGGCCCAUUUCUUGGAACAGCAUGUGCGGGGAACCAAGGCCCUUUGUUUUGAGCUAGGUGGAGGUGGCCAGGUAGAGGUCGCCAGGAAGAGGUGGCCAGGUGGAGGUUGCUAAGCAAAGAUUGCUAUAUUAACUGGGUGCUUUUUAGAAACCAUAGUGGUUACCCCAUUCAUCCAGCCACUCCUGGACUCCCUGUACGUUUAAGUUGCCCAAUAAAACUUAUGUCUUGCUCGCUGUCUCUGGGUCUUUUC